GAUGAAGAACGUAGCGAAAUGCGAUAAGUAAUGUGAAUUGCAGAAUUCAGUGAACCAUCGAAUCUUUGAACGCACAUUGCGCCCGGCAGUAAUCUGCCGGGCAUGCCUGUCCGAGCGUCAUUUCUGCCCUCGAGCGAGUCCAGCAUCUAGGUGCUGGGCCCGCCCGGCGUUGGGGCACUACGGGAAGCCCUGUGCUGUCCCCCGUAGGCCCCGAAAUGAAGUGGCGGUCCUGCCGCGGCGCCCCCUGCGUAGUAUAACAGCUCGCUUCGGGACCCGGUGGAGGCCUGCCGUCAAACCUUACUCUCUAAGUUUGACCUCGGAUCAGGUAGGGUUACCCGCUGAACUUAAGCAUAUCAAUAAGGGAGGA
rnacentral:misc_RNA from 1 species